GCAAGUCGAACGGUAGUAGAGUGCUUGCACUCUAUGAGAGUGGCGAACGGGUGAGUAACACGUAGGUGAUCUACCUUGGGCCCGGGGAUAGCCUGUGGAAACACAGGGUAAUACCGGAUGAUAGCAUCUGUGUAAAGGCAGAUGGGGAAAGGAGCUUCGGCUCCGGCCUGAGAUGAGCCUGCGGUCCAUUAGCUAGUUGGUGAGGUAAAGGCCCACCAAGGCGACGAUGGAUAGCCGGCCUGAGAGGGUGAAC
rnacentral:rRNA from 1 species